UGAAGAACGCAGCGAAAUGCGAUAAGUAAUGUGAAUUGCAGAAUUCAGUGAAUCAUCGAAUCUUUGAACGCACCUUGCGCCCUUUGGCCAUUCCGAAGGGCAUGCCUGUUUGAGUAUCAUGAACACCUCAACUCUUUAUGGUUUUCCAUGAUGAGCUUGGACUCUGGGGGUUUUGCUGGCUCACAGUCGGCUCCUCUAAAAUGAAUCAGCUUACCAGUGUUUGGUGGGUAUCAUGGGUGUGAUAACUAUCUACGCUUGUGGUUUUUCCACCAGGUAACCUUCAGCAGUGGAGGUUCGCUGGAGCUCAUAGAUGUCUCUCCUCAGUGAGGACAGCCCUUUGAAUGUUUGAUCUCAAAUCAGGUAGGACUACCCGCUGAACUUAAGCAUAUCAAUAAGCGGAGGA
rnacentral:misc_RNA from 1 species